rnacentral:rRNA from 1 species
UACAGAGGUCUCGAGCGUUGUUCGGAUUCAUUGGGCGUAAAGGGUGCGUAGGUGGUCAGGUAAGUCUGAUGUGAAAGCUCUGGGCUCAACCCAGAAAUGGCAUUGGAUACUAUCUGGCUAGAGGAAUGGAGGGGGGACUGGAAUACUUGGUGUAGCAGUGAAAUGCGUAGAUAUCAAGUGGAACACCAGUGGCGAAGGCGAGUCCCUGGACAUUUCCUGACACUGAGGCACGAAAGCUAGGGGAGCAAACAGG